rnacentral:rRNA from 1 species
AGAGUUUGAUCCUGGCUCAGGACGAACGCUGGCGGCGUGCUUAAUACAUGCAAGUUGAGCGGAGCCAUUGAUGAAGCUUGCGAUUCAAUGGUCGGGCGGCGGACGGGUGAGAAACGCGUGGGCAACCUGCCCUCUAGUCUGGGAUAACAGUUCGAAAGGGCUGCUAACACCGGAUAAGCUCACGGAGAGGCAUCUUUCAGUGAGAAAAGUUUACGCUAGAGGAUGGGCCCGCGUCCCAUUAGCUAGUUGGUGAGGUAACGGCUCACCAAGGCGCCGAUGGGUAGCCGACCUGAGAGGGUGACCGGCCACACUGGGACUGAGACACGGCCCAGACUCCUACGGGAGGCAGCAGUAGGGAAUUUUCCGCAAUGGGCGAAAGCCUGACGGAGCAACGCCGCGUGAGGGAAGAAGGUCUUCGGA